GGGUAAGUGGUGCAAUUGGUAGACACGCUAGUCUUAGGAACUAGUGCCGUAAGGCUUGAGGGUUCGAGUCCCUCCUUACCCACAA
rnacentral:tRNA from 3 species